rnacentral:rRNA from 1 species
CCUACGGGAGGCAGCAGUGGGAAUAUUGGACAAUGGGCGCAAGCCUGAUCCAGCCAUGCCGCGUGUGUGAAGAAGGCCUUCGGGUUGUAAAGCACUUUCAGCGAGGAGGAAGGGAUGUAUGUUAAUAGCAUGCAUUUUUGACGUUACUCGCAGAAGAAGCACCGGCUAACUCUGUGCCAGCAGCCGCGGUAAUACAGAGGGUGCAAGCGUUAAUCGGAAUUACUGGGCGUAAAGCGCACGUAGGCGGUUUUUUAAGUCAGAUGUGAAAGCCCCGGGCUCAACCUGGGAAUUGCAUUUGAAACUGGGGAACUAGAGUGUGUGAGAGGGGGGUAGAAUUCCAAGUGUAGCGGUGAAAUGCGUAGAGAUUUGGAGGAAUACCAGUGGCGAAGGCGGCCCCCUGGCACAACACUGACGCUCAGGUGCGAAAGCGUGGGGAGCAAACAGGAUUAGAUACCCUGGUAGUCCACGCCGUAAACGAUGUCUACUAGCUGUUCGUGUCCUUGUGAUGUGAGUAGCGCAGCUAACGCACUAAGUAGACCGCCUGGGGAGUACGGUCGCAAGAUUAAAAACUCAAAAGGAAUUGACGG